GGUCUCUCCUCUUUGGCUAAUGCCAGUGACCACCCUGUAAUGAGGGGACAGGUUGCAUCUUGCUUUUGAAAUCUGGGGGAUUAGAAUCAUUUCCGUAACAUGGGCAGCUUGACCUCCCUGUAACUAGGGUUUGAGUCUCCGAGGCCCUUUGGGUCUCCAUUAGCUGCUUAGUGAGUGUGACUGCCCUGCAAUCAGGGUGCAAGUCACCUCCCCCUAAAUGUGGGGGGGCAUUGAGCUCUUUGUUAAACUGAGCAAUGUGACCGCCCUGUAACUAGGGCCCGGGUCUCUGCCCACUUGCUCAUUUGGCUUUACGCCGUGCUCUGCCCCACUAGUCAGCGUGACAACCCUGUAAUUAGGGUCUAUGUCACAAGUUACUUUUAAAUGGGACAUAUCGAGCUCUUUGGUACUUUGACAGCUGGACCUUCCUGUAAUUCAGGUUAUGGUCUCUCCUAUUUGGCUAAUGCCAGCGACCACCCUGUACUGAGGGGACAGGUUGCAUCUCGCUUUUGUAAUCUGGCGGAUUAGAAUCAUUUCCGUAACAUGGGCAGGUUGACCUCCCUGUAACUAGGGUUCGGUCUCCGAGGCCCUUUGGGUCUCUUGGCCUCGUGCUGUCUUCACAGCGUGCUGCGAAGGACCGACUUGUCAUCAGGGAUCGGGUCUUUGCUCUCUAGUCUCUUGGCACUAGGCCAAAUGCAGCCACUGCCCCGAAUGAGCACCCUGUAAACAGGGUACAGGUCUCAUCAGCUACUAUUUAUGGUGCCCCCAUGAGACUGUGUCCAGAGUUCCGGCCCUUUAAGCAGCGCUUGCAACGUGCCUGGAAUUCUGCAGCCAAGUCUCCUGCUUUCUACUCCCUUCUUGGACUCUUGGAGACCUGACAUGCUAUUGGUGGCAUCAUGAAGCACAAGUGGAGAAGAAGGAAGUGUCAGGAAUGCCACAGACAGAGGAGAAAAGAAGAUGGAGGAAAAGGAAAGGAACUCUGGGCACAGUACCCUCCCUCAAAUCAGCCUCAGGUCAUGUAAUUAGACUGUAUGGGAAUCUCGAGCCUUUUAAUACCUUGAGCAGCGUGACCGCCCUGUAAGCUGGGUCCCGGUCUGUCCCCUUUGGACAUUCUGCUCCGUCAUCUGGCUAGUGUGAGUGACUGCCCUGUAAUCAGGGUGCCAGUCACCUCCCCCUAAAUGUGGAGGGGCAUUAAGCUCUUUCAUUAAUUGAGCAUUGUGACCGGCCUGUAACUAGGGCCCGGGUCUCUGCCCACUUGCUCAUUUGGCAUUACGCCGUGCUCUGCCCCACUAGUCAGCGUGACAACCCUGUAAUUAGGGUCCAUGUCACAAGGCUCUCCUGAAUGGGACAUAUCGAGCUCUUUGGUACUUUCACAGCUGGACCUUCCUGUAAUUCAGGUUAUGGUCUCUCCUCUUUGGCUAAUGCCAGUGACCACCCUGUAAUGAGGGGACAGGUUGCAUCUCGCUUUUGAAAUCUGGGGGAUUAGAAUCAUUUCCAUAACAUGGGCAGCUUGACCUCCCUGUAACUAGGGUUUGAGUCUCCGAGGCCCUUUGGGUCUCCAUUAGCUGCUUAGUGAGUGUGACUGCCCUGCAAUCAGGGUGCAAGUCACCUCCCCCUAAAUGUGGGGGGGCAUUGAGCUCUUUGUUAAACUGAGCAAUAUGACCGCCCUGUAACUAGGGCCCGGGUCUCUGCCCACUUGCUCAUUUGGCUUUACGCCGUGCUCUGCCCCACUAGUCAGCGUGACAACCCUGUAAUUAGGGUCUAUGUCACAAGUUACUUUUAAAUGGGACAUAUCGAGCUCUUUGGUACUUUGACAGCUGGACCUUCCUGUAAUUCAGGUUAUGGUCUCUCCUAUUUGGCUAAUGCCAGUGACCACCCUGUAAUGAGGGGACAGGUUGCAUCUCGCUUUUGUAAUCUGGCGGAUUAGAAUCAUUUCCGUAACAUGGGCAGGUUGACCUCCCUGUAACUAGGGUUUGGUCUCCGAGGCCCUUUGGGUCUCUUGGCCUCGUGCUGUCUUCACAGCGUGCUGCGAAGGACCGCCCUGUCAUCAGGGAUCGGGUCUUUGCCCUCUAGUCUCUUGGCACUAGGCCAAAUGCAGCCACUGCCCCGAAUGAGCACCCUGUAAACAGGGUACAGGUCUCAUCAGCUACUAUUUAUGGUGCCCCCAUGAGACUGUGUCCAGAGUUCCGGCCCUUUAAGCAGCGCUUGCAACGUGCCUGGAAUUCUGCAGCCAAGUCUCCUGCUUUCUACUCCCUUCUUGGACUCUUGGAGACCUGACAUGCUAUUGGUGGCAUCAUGAAGCACAAGUGGAGAAGAAGGAAGUGUCAGGAAUGCCACAGACAGAGGAGAAAAGAAGAUGGAGGAAAAGGAAAGGAACUCUGGGCACAGUACCCUCCCUCAAAUCAGCCUCAGGUCAUGUAAUUAGACUGUAUGGGAAUCUCGAGCCUUUUAAUACCUUGAGCAGCGUGACCGCCCUGUAAGCUGGGUCCCGGUCUGUCCCCUAUGGACAUUCUGCUCCGUCAUCUGGCUAGUGUGAGUGACUGCCCUGUAAUCAGGGUGCCAGUCACCUCCCCCUAA